GUGGGCUCAGUGGUAGAGUGCUUGCUUUGCAUGCAAGAGGCCCUGGGUUAGAUUCCUUAGCGCCACA
rnacentral:tRNA from 1 species